GUCACAAUAGAAAUCUCGUCUCAGAUUGCUUCACAGACAAUAAUUUGUGAAAGAGAGACAGAAAUCAGUCACUCGAAAUCGUGAAUUCCACUUCACAUAUAAAUCGUUCACUGUGAGUCCGUGAACCCAUAUACUAAUACAUGUAACCCAGCGAAUAGCAGUAAACAGUCAAUAUGAAUGAUUUUCAAGCGAUAUCGCGUGAAAAUGCAGAGGUAAAAUAUUGGAACUAUAUUAACUUAUUUUAAGAGGCUGAAUUAAUGUUAAAACGACGAAAGUUGA